UUUUUUUUUUGUGUGUUUUUUUUUUUUUACAAUAACGUUACUUCGAAUGUAAACAAGAAGUGAAGUCAAUUAGAGCACCUUUAAGAGUGUUUUGGUGCUGCUGUUUACAUGUGAGUGAUCAGUGUGUUUUGGUUGAUAAUGACUCUUAUUAAGCUCAGAGGAGUCAAUGUGGACUUUCCCUUCACUCCAUACUCGUGCCAGGAGGAGUACAUGAGAAAAGUAAUCGAGUGCCUGCAGAAUCGCUGGGCUGGAGAGAGAACUUAAAAGACAAAAUCUCUGACCGCAAGAUAGCCGAGAGAAUGGACGGUGUGGAGCUGUUCCCUGACAAACCAAUGUCAUCGAGGGGAACAGCAGUCACCAACAAAGACACUCCAACUUAUGACACGGACAUCCCUAAGAUCAUAUAUGCUUCCAGGACCCAUUCCCAGCUAGCACAGGUCAUAAAUGAGCUCAAGAACACAUCCUACAGGCCAAAUAUUUGUGUUUUGGGAUCUAGAGAACAGCUGUGCAUAGACCAGGAAGUGAUGCGUCAAGAGAGUAACCACUUUAAGAGAAAAGCACUAAAAAACCACAAAGAAAUCAAGAAUACUAUCAUGGAUGUGGAGGAUCUUGUGAAAACAUGAAAAAGGAAAGGAGAAGAUGUGUGAAGAGUCCACCUCUUUUGACCUUUCCCCUCACGACCUGAUUUCUGCCAUUGAAGCCGUGGAUCGACUGCUCUGGGAACAUGCCUCAGACAUUAGCAAAACUAAGUCUGGAUUAAAACUGGAUAUCACCACAAUUGCAAAAAUAAAACAUAGGUUACACUUCAAAAAUGGAAAUAAAUUUUAAUGGAUCUGGGAUCUUCCAUUAAUAGUUUUGAGAUGCCAGCAAAUAAUCAAGGAAUCACCAAGCCCGGCAGCUUCAUAUAUGAGCUUUUUCAAACGGCUAAUGUAAACUUUGAGUUUAAAACAUCUAUAGUGGAAGCCAUGGAGCAGAUUACAGGAUAUAUAGCAGGGAGGCCUGGUGUCUUUCUGAAAACCAGCGGACUACAGAAAGUAGCAGAUAUUAUCAAG